rnacentral:lncRNA from 10 species
CUAGCGCUAGUAAAUCAGCUUCAUUUUUUAAUUUCUUGUUUUUUGCUUUUGUUUUCUUUUUUUUGAGACGAAGUCUUGCUCUGUCACCCAGGCUGGAGGGCAGUGGCACGAUCUUGGCUCACUACAACCUCCGCCUCCCAGGUUCACAGUGAUUCUCCUGCCUCAGCCUCCCCAGCCGCUGGGAUUACAAGCACUGCCACCACACCCAGAUACCUUUUUUUUUUUUUUUUUUGUAUUUUUAGUAGAGAUGGGGUUUCACCAUGUUGGCCAGGCUGGUCUCAAACUCCUAACCUCAGGUGAUCCACCCGCCUAAGCCUCCCAAAGUGCUGGGAUUACAGGUGCGAGCUGGUGUAUCUGGCCCUAAAUCAGUUUCUAAUUGUUGUCAGAGGUGAAGGUAAAAGAAAACAGCAACUUUUUGCGGAUCUAAGUGUUCUAGCAGCAGCAGUGGCAGUGAGGGGGGCGAGCAUCUGUCGUGGAGCUGGCAGGGCCCCUCGCUCAGCGAGCCGGCCGCCGCCUGGGGUGCACGGACCCCUCGUAUAUCUGGUCUCUAUCUUCGUGGGCUGCAGAGCUGCCUGCGGGACACACAGGAUGCUCCUUGCUAAGUCAAUCACGCCCACACCACCGUGGAGCCACCAGCUUGUGGCCCCUGGAGGGCCAGCGGGUGUUCCGUUCUUGCCUGGAGGGCGGGACUCCUGCCAUGCUGUGCUGGCAUUGGGAAGACUCCCCUCGCCCCACCAUUAGUACGUCAUUCCUUUAGGUUAAGUAUUAAGUGUGGCCGACCUGGGCUCUUCUUUCUUUUCUUCUUCUUUCUUUCUUUUUUUUUUUUUUUUAAGACGGAGUCUUGCUGUGUUGCCAAGGCUGGAGUACAGUGGCAUGAUCUCGGCUCACUGCAAGCUCCACCUCCCGGGUUCAUGCCAUUCUCCCGCCUCAGCCUCCCGAGUAGCUGGGACGACAGGCACCUGCCACCAUGCCCGGCUAAUUUUUUGUAUUUUUAGUAGAGACGGGGUUUCACUGUGUUAGCCAGGAUGGUCUCGAUCUCCUGACCUCGUGAUCCGCCCACCUUGGCCUCCCAAAGUGCUGGGAUUACAGGUGUGAGCCACCGCGCCCGGCCGCCUUUUUCUUUUUUUAAAGUCAGGCUCUUGUUCUGUCAUCCAGGCUGGAGUCCAGUGGUGCAGUCACGGUUCACUGCAGCCUCGACCUCCUGGGCUCAAGUGAUCCUCCCACCUCAGCCUCCUGAGUAGCUCCUGAGGACCACAGGCGCCCGCCACACUCAGUAAUUUUCUCCAUUUUUGUAGAGACGGGUCUCAAUACGUUGCCCAGGCUUAGGUUCUUCCUUUCAAAAGCCACAUCCUUCUAGGAGGGGCCGUGUACCACGCUGCAGCAGCCAUGGCUGUUGCAGCAUGAAUGAAUUUCUCAGGCCACCGCGGACGUUCAGACCAUGAGACAUGACUCAACCGCACCAGGGAUGAGUG